GCCAUGGAGUCGAUCCUGACUCACAGCCACCUUCUAGAUGUGUAAUGUGCCGGCUUUGCUUGUAGGUCAUGGGAGAAAUGCCGGGCGUUAUCUCGAGGCCAGUGGAGAAUCACUAAAGGAUUUUAAGCAGGAGAGGGAUUUUUCAAAUUUCUCUGUGGAAGCACUUUACGGUCUGUGACCCUGGCCACUGCCGAGCCGAAAAGACAACAGAUUUAUGGCAGGCCUGGAGAGCAACAAUCCAAGGAUGCGUUUUCCCUGCUUUCAGUCCCCUCCAGGACAUACAACUCAAAGCCAAGGGCGUAAGCAUGACCACCUUUACAAGGGUUUUAACACUCUCAAAAUAUAAAUUCAAACAAUAAGCC